rnacentral:lncRNA from 1 species
GGAGGCCUCAGGGAGAAGGUGACUGGAACCCAAUGGACUUCUGGGUGAGGAGCAGGAAGGACACGGGUGUGAAGCAAGGAGUGUGCUAAAGAUGCAGCAAAGAGACCUGUGUGGCCAGAGCCAAGAGAAGGAGGGAAAGAGUGAGAGAGAACAUUAGCGAGAGACAAGGCAGACCACCUCAGACCUGGCGGACCGUUGGGAGGCUCUGCUCUUACCCUGAGUGAACUGAACUGGGGAGCUAUGGCAGUGUCCGCAGCACACCAUGGCAUGUCCAACCUAGGUUUCAGAUUAGCCGGGGGCUGUGGCAGGGCAUGGAGUCCUAUGGCGGGAAUCCAGUAAGUGCAGAAGGGCAGGGAGGUUGGCGGCUUAGACCAGGUGGUGGCCGUGGAGAGAGUAAGCUUCCACGUGAGUUGUUGAGACUGGCUUCCUCAGGCUUUGCUGGUGGACUACAUGCAGGGUAUGAGAGGAAGAAAAAUCGGAGCUGGGAAAUUGCAACGAUGGAAAAGAGAAUCUAAAAUAAACCAAGUGCACUCACAAUCUAACGCUGGGUCACACGGGAGGAUGCCGCAGGGAUGGGACGGUGUACCGACGCAGCUCCGGAAAAAUAGAUUCAAUGCCCUAGAGAAAAAUGGAUCAGAGAAACUAAAGAUGUCUGAAGACCUGGGACCUGGCUACUCGGCCCUUCUGAAUGCCAUGGCGUAGUGUCCACUGUCCUGUGCCUAAAACCGUCCUGGAAAUGGUACGCACUCCUGUAGAUCUGAGGCACCUGAGCCAGGCCUUCCUUGGGGAAACUUUCUACCAUUUUUCCUCCAGAAGCCUCUCUUGUGUCAGUCAUAAGGUUCAAAAUCUAAAUUAAAAUUUUACAUACAUUGGACUCCUACUAGCUUCCAGACAUUGUACCAGCUGCUUCCACACAUAUUAACCAUUGUAACCAAUUCAAUGAUGAUUUAAUUUAAGAGGGGUGAUUGGAUUUGGACCUGAAAAUUUUAAAGGGUAAGCCAGGAUAUAAUUCUAAAACAUCUUCUAUGGUUCUAAUGAAAUAUAUAUCGGGAAACGAAACACCAACAUUGAAAUUUUUUAUUGUCAGCACGGUUGAUGAGUUUGCUGGGUUCAUUUGGAUUGUAGUGGGUGGUUUAGCUUUAGUAAUA